AAAAAUAAUAAAUAUCUCAAAUUCUUGAGCUUUUUUUUUUGUUUUGGUCUUUCUUUGCACAGGAGACUAUCCCACCGGCACAGGUGUUCCUUGGAUAUUUAUGUAUUUCUCGUCUCUCUUGUACUGUAAUGUUUACUUUUUAUUGUGUCCUCUUUGCACAUAAAAAGGUCAAGCAGGGAAAUUGUUGUGUAAAUAAAGCACGGAAGUGAGUUGCAUACGAAUAUUUAAUUGAGGAAUUAAGUUGGUAUACAUACGAAAUAAUACGGCUUAUGUACAAUAGUAUAUUCAAACUGUUUAGGGUGAUUUUGGAAGAGCGAAGUUAUUCUACGUUCUUCGUAUAAUUAUUAUUUCCGUUUUUCAAAAGUGACCACCAGUAUUUGCUAAAAUAAUUCUCAACGAAAAUAAUGGAAGGGGGGAAUUAAUUGUGUCGAAUUCACAAUCUUCGUAAGUACUCACUGGUUACUAAGAGAAUAAUGAAUAAUAAGACUAGAAAGUUGCUAACAUAAUAUCAAGUACAAAUAGACUAUCUGUCGAUCAUAUCUCAUCGAUUCAGUAGUGAAAUUGUUAACGUUAAAACGUCAAAUAUGAUAAUUUUAUUUGAACUAGAAUUACAAAGUCAUGAUUAGUAAAUAGAUUUGGUACGUUUAACGAAUUCACCACUGAUUCCACUUGUAAGAAAGUAAAACGUUUAAAAAAUGAAAAUUACGUAUGAGGCCUUUCAUGUCUCUUGUCCCACAUAUCAUCAUAUGUAUACUUAUGGAUAUUAACAAUAACUUCAAAAUAAAAAAAAAAAUAAAAAUACCAACAUUAGAAUCCAAUUAAGCUCCCUCAAAUGACGUAAUCCUAGUGAUUUUGCAUUGAAGAAUUUAAUCACAUGAAAAUAACGGAAAAGAAAGAUAUUUGCAUUAAAAUGUCGGAAACAUUUUGGGUACAUUUGGAAAAUCAAAUUUGGAAGAUUAUCUUCUGUGCAUAAAAAAAUACAGAUGCCAGAUAAUUAAUAAAGAAUAGAGACAUGCAAUCGUGGCUGUAACGUGUGAAUCAAUACACGUGUUUUUCAUUAUCGAAAAUGAAUAAUGGAGAUAAUAAAAUGAAGG